rnacentral:rRNA from 1 species
UACGUAGGGUGCGAGCGUUGUCCGGAAUUACUGGGCGUAAAGAGCUCGUAGGUGGUUUGUCGCGUUGUUCGUGAAAUCUCACGGCUUAACUGUGAGCGUGCGGGCGAUACGGGCAGACUAGAGUACUGCAGGGGAGACUGGAAUUCCUGGUGUAGCGGUGGAAUGCGCAGAUAUCAGGAGGAACACCGGUGGCGAAGGCGGGUCUCUGGGCAGUAACUGACGCUGAGGAGCGAAAGCGUGGGGAGCGAACCGG